GUCAACUGCAUAUAAGACGCAGUCUGCCUAGAACUUCAAUGUACCGGAGUGUCUCGUGUUGGGAGAGAUGGUGUGGAGUCUGAUCUGAUGUGUAUGGCAGUCGAUCGCCUAGUAAUCAUGCUAUCUUUUUUCUUCUUCUUUUGGGGGGCAUUAUCAAUAGCUUUAUUCUUCCAGCCACCUGCCAUCUAGCAAGAUAGGCUUCAA
rnacentral:misc_RNA from 1 species